AUGGCCGAAAUUGGACUCAAAAUGGCCGAUCCAAAAUGGCCGAAAAUCCAAUCCAAGAUGGCCAAAAUUGGAUCCAAAAUGGCCAAAAAUGGAUCCAAAAUGGCCGAUCCAAAAUGGCUGAAAAUCGAAUCCAAGAUGGCCGAAAUUGGCCACGCCCCCGACCGAGAACCGAAAAAAGCCGAAAAACCACAAAAAAGGCGAAAAAGGGGAAAUCGAAACUUCCGGUCUGGCCCCGCCCCGUCUGGGAGUGACGUCAUCGGUGACGUCAUCAGGCCACGCCCCCCAGCCACCGGGGGGCGCUCGAGGACUGUGAUUGGUGGAGGUGGAAAAGGGGCGGGGCUAAAGCGGAAAGGGGCGGGGUUAAAGGAAAUGGGCGUGGCCAAAAGGGGGCGGAGCUUAGGGGGCAGCGGGAGCCGCGAUGGGGCAGCCCGCCCCUCCCCCCCCUCCGUUUCCCCAUUGGCCGGUUGCGGCCCCGCCCCUUCCGCCAUUGGCUGCCUGGCCAGCGGCUUCUUCCCAAGCCCCGCCCACUUCUCCUGGAGCCCCGCCCCCUCCCCAGGCCCCGCCCCCCUCCCCCAAAUUUCCAGCCAAUCGCGGCUCUCCCUGGCCGGAAGUUGGCUCCGCCUCCCGGAAGCUUCCGGAAGUGACGUCAUCUUCCGGUGCCGCGUCCGGCACGCGCCGAGCGGCGCCGACGUCGCCGUCGACGUCAGACCGCGACCCCCUCGACCUCCGCGACCUCCGACCGUCGACGUUUUCCACUCCUGCCCCGCCCCCGACCUGGUGGAGCUUCUCUGUUUGGUCACCACCUUCUCCCCUCCCCCGGUGAGCGUCGAUUGGCUGAGAGACGGAUCCAAGAUGGCCGCCGGCCACGCCCACACCGAACCGGCCGCGCCCGACGUCGUUUCCGGAACGUUCCGGACGGUUUCGCGCCUCAACGUCUCGGUGGAGGAGUGGAGGGACGAGGUCUUCUCCUGCCGGGCCACCCACGGGGCCACCGGGGCCGAGGUGGAGGCGACGGUCGGGAGAUGCGCCGGCUCCACCUCCGCCUCCAUCUCCAUCUUCACCAUCCCCCCAUCCCCGUCCGACCUCUACAUCACCCAAACGCCCAAAAUUCGCUGUCUGGUGACGAACCUGCCGAGCAACGACGGCCUCAGCGUCACCUGGAGCCGCGACGGCGCCGAUUUCGGCAAAUUGGCUCAACCCCUCCCCCUCCAAUUGAGCCAAAACUUCAACGGGACGUUAACGGCCGUCAGCGAACUCCCGGUGAGCGUCGGCGACUGGGAGAGCGGCGCCGCCUUCGUGUGCCGGGUCGGACACGCCGAGCUGCCGGCGCCGGCGGAGCGGCGCGUGGAGAGGAGGCCGGGAAAACGCUUCCCACCCUCCGUCUUCCUCCUGCCUCCCCCUCUGGAGGAACUCUCCUCCUCCCGCCCCACGCUCAGCCUGACCUGCCUGGCCCGCGGCUUCUUCCCGGACUCCAUCGACGUCCAGUGGCAGAAAAACCAGGAAACCCUCGGGAAUUCCGGGGGAAUUCCGGGAAAUUCCGGGAAUUCCGGCCUGGAAACGUGGCCCCCGCGGCGGGAAAAGGGGGGGGAGGGGCGUUACUUCCUCUACAGCCGCCUGGAAGUGGAACGGGAAGAGUGGGAGACGGGCGCGACCUUCGUCUGCACCGUGGUGCACGAGGGGCUGCCCAUGCGCUUCCUGCAGCGCAGCGUGCACAGAAACCCCGGUAAUUAGCCUAAUUGGUGUUAAUUAGAUAAUUAAAGGUGGAUCGUCAGCGAAAA